rnacentral:rRNA from 1 species
AGAGCGAACGCUGGCGGCAGGCCUAACACAUGCAAGUCGAGCGCCCCGCAAGGGGAGCGGCAGACGGGAGAGUAACACGUGGGAACGUACCCUUUGGUUCGGAACAACCCAGGGAAACUUGGGCUAAUACCGAAUAAGCCCUUACGGGGAAAGAUUUAUCGCCAAAGGAUCGGCCCGCGUCUGAUUAGCUAGUUGGUGAGGUAACGGCUCACCAAGGCGACGAUCAGUAGCUGGUCUGAGAGGAUGAUCAGCCUCACUGGGACUGAGACACGGCCCAGACUCCUACGGGAGGCAGCAGUGGGGAAUAUUGGACAAUGGCGCAAGCCUGAUCCAGCCAUGCCGCGUGGGUGAUGAAGGCCCUAGGGUGUAAAGCCCUUUCGGCGGGGAAGAGUAAUGACGGUACCGCAGAAGAAGCCCGGCUAACUUCGUGCCAGCAGCCGC